ensembl:lncRNA
CUCGCUGCAUUGGAGAUGCUGGGACCUGAGGUCUGUGGCUGCUCUGUGCCCCCUGAUGUCCCCUGCACAGCUGUGCCACCGCAGCGGGCGGGCAGAGGCAGAGAAGAGGGGAUGGGCUCUGGAGCUGCUGCACAGCAUGCUGGGCUCACUGCAGCUCCUGCUGGCUUUGGGAGAAGAGUUUGGGAAGCAUAAGUACAGUGAGAUGUCUGAUGAUGGAGCUCUGUCACUCAGAGUAAAACCGGACUGUCUGAUGUUGCAAACCUCCCCAGCUUGGCUGGGACCAACGUAGGAGGAUGCAUUUGGUCCUGACGCUGUCUGUAGCGUGGGUAGAACACAAGUGAUGGAUACGGGAGUCCCACCGGCCAGCACCUCUCAGGCUUAACAUCGUGCACCAAGCAAGCACUGAGCUCACUGGGUUUACGGGUGCAAGUUGGCACUAAAGGAUGCUUAUCCUCACUGCUCGGAUUUCAGACACUGGAAAACGUGUGUGAAACCCUCUGCUUGGUUUGCUCUGCCUCGCCUGCUCCCUCAGCUGCCGUUGCUUCUCAGGAGCCCAUCCAGGUGGCCGAGGCCAUCAGCUCUCCCCAGCUCAGAGGUAGAACACGGAGCGUACCUCGCUAGCCAAAAACUGCCGAGAGCAUUACCUCCACGGGUACCCAAGGAGACUGAGAGCCGUAUUUGCACUCUGAAGGGUUCGUGAUGCAGCUGCUGCCAAGGCAGUGACUCAGGAGGAGGACAGAGCCCCGUGUGCCCCAUCACAGUGCCUCCAAUCUGCAGCUUCCGCUGCGAGCACACGGAGCAAAGCCUUUUGUGUCGCACUUAUCGUCAGCUCUGCAAGCAGGAAAGAAGUCAAAGCAGUUUGCUGUGAAUUGCUGGCUUCAGCAGUCGCACUUCCGUGCUGUCUCUCUCCUUCACAAGUAAAGUGAAGAAAUCCAUGUGCAGAGAGCCUAACAGUGAUCUUCAAGGCCAAAAAAGGCCAUGGACUUGGAGCCCGCAGGGCAGCUUGCAGGAGGUGCAGGCAGGAAACGUCUCGCCAAGAAGCCCCGGAGCCCAAAGGGUGCGGUCAGGGAUGGAGGUGGGAACGCAUCCCCAGCCCACAUCCCCACCCAGGUGACACUGCCUGGUUCUGCUCUCGCCGGGCGCUGUCACCAUCCCCCUCCCCCAGGAUGCUCCUUCUCGGGUGCCAUUUGGGCCCAAGAAACAGUGUAGCACGCCAUGACAUCAGACUGAGGGCUGUAAAUGUUGCGAGCACAGAAAGUUCAUUGCUGUAAGGCAGCGGUUCAUAGGGUAAGGCUGCUGGUUCCUGCUGAGCAGAGGCUGAGUGCCCCACAUCGCCCCGCUGCCAACUGUGCCUUUCCCUGGGCUGCACCCACACUCAGUCCCAG